rnacentral:rRNA from 1 species
GAUGAACGCUAGCUACAGGCUUAACACAUGCAAGUCGAGGGACCGGCGCACGGGUGAGUAACACGUAUCCAACCUGCCCUUUACUCGGGGAUAGCCUUUCGAAAGAAAGAUUAAUACCCGAUAUAAAGGAUGGGGAUGCGUUCCAUUAGGUUGUUGGUGAGGUAACGGCUCACCAAGCCUUCGAUGGAUAGGGGUUCGGAGAGGAAGGUCCCCCACAUUGGAACUGCGCCCCGGUCCAAAAUCGUACGGGAAGCAGCAGUGAGGAAUAUAGGUCCAUGGGCGCUAGCCUGAACCGGCCAAGUAGCGUGAAGGAUGAUGGCGUAUGGGUCGUCAACUUCUUUUAUAUAAGAAUAUGUAUUAUAUGAAUAAGGAUCGGCUAACUCCGUGCCAGCAGCCGCGGUAAUUC